UACGUAGGUGGCAAGCGUUGUCCGGAUUUACUGGGCGUAAAGAGCGCGCAGGCGGUCGUUCAAGUCGCGUGUGAAAGCCCCCGGCUCAACUGGGGAGGGUCACGCGAUACUGAUCGACUGGAAGGCAGGAGAGGGUAGUGGAAUUCCCGGUGUAGUGGUGAAAUGCGUAGAUAUCGGGAGGAACACCAGUGGCGAAAGCGGCUCACUGGACCACAACUGACGCUGAGGCGCGAAAGCUAGGGGAGCAAACAGGG
rnacentral:rRNA from 1 species